CUUAGGAUGGGAGGGAGAUGGGAUUGUCAGUGCUGGGUGUCUGGAAGCUGUGCUAGGAGAUGCUCCUGGACAUUCCCCCAGCUUUGAGGGGGUUUAGGACAUGUGAGGCCAAAGAUGGGGGUUGUUGGAGGUGGGAGCUGGUGUUUUCUAAUGGCAUUGAGAGAUUUUAACAGCGCUGGUGAGGACAAACACUGUUACAGGUACAAAAUAACAGCACUAGUCAAAAGGCACAACAGCCCUGUGGUGCACACAAUGGAGAGGAAUUGGGAGCUCUUGGAUCAGAUUUUGACUGUGCCACAGACCCCCAGUGCUGCUUUCAGGCAGUCACUUAAUCUCUGCAUCCACCACCUGUGGAGCAGCCAGGCUUGGAACAGUUUGUGUCUCUGGAAGCAUGUAUCUAGUUCAGCUGUUAUUAUCAAAGUUAAAUAUUAAAGAAAUAUUGUGUUAUCAUAGGAUAAAGCCAUGCCACACCAUUUUCACUGUGAACUUUGUUCUUUUGCUAUUACAUUUUCUUUACAUUACAUUUUUCAGGAAAAACAAUGUUUUCACUGCAUGAAAGUAAGUUAGGCAGAAAUUCAUGGUGCACGUUGUGCAAGCUAGACUUGUAGAUUUGAUGUCUGGCACUAAGAGAUGCAUGUUAAAUGCCACUAGGAAGAAUUCAGGGCUGGUUGUUCAAUAAAAUGAAGCACAAGUCUGGGCAUUGAAAGUAAACAAAUAACACAGGACUUUGUAGAGAUCAGCCUUCCAAAGCUGUUUGGAAAGUUCCAUAAUUGGGUCUCUCUGUGGGCACUCCUCAUCCCCUUGGUGACAGGCAUGCUGCUCUGAAUUUGUUGUUCCAACUUCCAUUAAUAUUCUGUGUCAGACAAGGAAAUAACUUAGAUAAGAUCAAUCUUCAAACAUGUUUUUCAGGAAGGAACUAAAGAGCAGUCCUGAAAAAUAUCUACUGGAAUGGAAAAAUUCUGAUCUUUGGGAAAAUAAAGGAAUUGCUGUGUGAGAGGAAAAGGUCAAUACAUUUGGAGGACAGGCUGGCAGUACUUCUCUCCAGAUGUACCAUUUGGCACAUUAAGCAAUUCUUUUCUUAGAAGGGGAACCUAUGUUUUUGCCAUGUAAUGCAAAACACCAAUGGAAUCACUACAUAAGCAAAAUGCCAGUAAUGGUACAGUGGUCCAGCCACAAACAUUGGUGAAGGACAGAAAAGGAGCAAGGACAUUCCUCACAUCUCCCUGCCACUCCCUUCUUCCCAUCAGCAGAACAACCCUUUCCCCUGCCUGAAGCUUCCUAUGGGAUGAGCAGCAGAACAAGCCUUCCUCCAGGUCUUGUGGCCAAGGGAGGAGAAGGAGACUGGCCAGGCAGAUCCCAAGUGUUUCCUUGGCAGGGCUGGUCUUUGCCCCAGGGAAAGGCUGGCACCUUGGGGAGAGAGCUGUGCCCUGCCUGGCUGCCCAGCCUGGCCCCUGCCUUGGCUUCCCUGGGGUUUUUCUGUUUCUUACAACAAAUGUCCUGUAAUCCAAGCUUUCUGUAAGUGGGGUCAUGCUGCUCUGCUCAGUAGAGUUUCAGUAGUUAGCAGGUUUCUUUCUAGUUUUUUCCUGCCAUUCACCAGAAAUCUCACCUUUAUUCCUCCCACCUUAAAUAAGUCAGUUCUGGCUUUUGCCUGUCCAUGCAGUCAGAAAAUGAUAUUUGCUGAUUACUCUCCCCCUGCCUAGAAGCAAUGGAAAAGCAACAGUGAAAAAAAAAGAGUGAUUUCUCUCCAAGUUUCUAAUUAAAUGGGGUUGUGUGGCCUUUCCAGUUUGAUUGACUCUGUAAUUAAUGACUAGGUGAGGCAGGGAAGUUCUUUUUCUCUGGGUUUUUUCUGUCCCAUGAAUGCUGGGGAAGAACGCUAGGAAGGCACACAGUUGUGAGAACACUUUCCCUCUCCUGUUGGUACCAUUCCUAAAAACUGCUCCUGAGAGGAGCAAAAUUUCAUUCUUUCUCCUCUAGAGCAUUUCUGCAAAGAAGCCAAUCCUUGGUCCUGCUCAGUCACUGGAGGUAAAAAGAUAAAUAUUAAUGCUGUGCCCUGUUUCAGUUUUUCUAAUUUUUUUUCUAUUUUUUAUUACUCUUUGAAGAAAACAACCCAGGGCAAAACAUGGUUUUGAAGGUUUGCAGCUGCCCUUGGAGCUGAAGUGGAGAGAGAGGCACUGCAGUAGGGCUGUGAGCUCAGCCAUGUGGGCCCAGCAUGGAGGGAAUGCACCUUUUAAAAAAUACACUAGCUAAAUGUUUCAAUGUGUAUUUAGUCCUUUCCCACUCCUAUUUGUGUUGCAGGAAGUGAUCCUCUGCUACCUCUGGGGUACCUGGGGUGGGGGGAUUGAGGUAGACUAUGGGAUUGCCACGGGACUGUUUCUUCUUUAAGGCAAAUAUGUUAAAGAUUGAAUUGGUGUGUGAAUGUAACUCUCAGCACUGGCACUGCUUUACUCACCAGUGUGUUAUCAUUAGCAGCCCACGAAAGAAAUGUGGAUUAGGCAAUCAGCCUGUGUAAGGCUUUUCCCUGUGGCACACCAGCUACUCUUCAUGUUUGCUGUAUUUUCAUAAUAAUUGAACUCAACAUACUCUCCAUUCCAAAGUUCAUUCCAUUUCUUAGUACUUUUCUGUUAGAGGUGGCUUUUCACACCUGGCUGUCAUCCAAAUUGCAUGUUGAAGGCAUUUUUGAGGAAACUUGAAGAUUUAGAGUGCUAAUAAAGUGCUGCCUGCUAAAAUAAA